UGUGACCUCAAAUCAGGUAGGACUACCCGCUGAACUUAAGCAUAUCAAUAAGCGGAGGAAAAGAAACUAACAAGGAUUCCCCUAGUAACUGCGAGUGAAGCGGGAAAAGCUCAAAUUUAAAAUCUGGCGGUCUAUUGGCUGUCCGAGUUGUAAUCUAGAGAAGUGUUAUCCGCGCUGGACCGUGUACAAGUCUCCUGGAAUGGAGCAUCAUAGAGGGUGAGAAUCCCGUCUUUGACAUGGACUGCCAGGGCUUUGUGAUGCGCUCUCAAAGAGUCGAGUUGUUUGGGAAUGCAGCUCAAAAUGGGUGGUAAAUUCCAUCUAAAGCUAAAUAUUGGCGAGAGACCGAUAGCGAACAAGUACCGUGAGGGAAAGAUGAAAAGAACUUUGGAAAGAGAGUUAAACAGUACGUGAAAUUGCUGAAAGGGAAACGCUUGAAGUCAGUCGCGUUGUCCAGGGAUCAACCUUGCUUUUGCUUGGUGCACUUCCUGGUUCGACGGGUCAGC
rnacentral:rRNA from 1 species